CCAACCUCCCACCUCCCGCACUUAGAGCUAACCUCCUCGUCCCCAAGCCUUCCGCGCUUAGAGCCAACCUCCUCUCCAUAAAAUAAAUCAAACCUCCCCGUACCAACACCUACCUCAUCCGCCAUUUCUCUUCCCCGAUUCCCCUCUUUCUCGUCUGACUUCCAUGACAAGCCGCCGCCACCUUCGAUUCUCCCUAAAUCCGGUGAUGUCCCGCACCGUCGCUCAUGGGCCAGACUCCCCCUCAGUUCACUCGUCCUAUAUUCCUCCGUGGCGACGUCGUCGACGCCGCUGCACGUGUCCCACAGUAACUCUAGUCGACACAGAUCGCCGGCGCAGCUCGCUCGCCUCUGUUCCAGAGGUCACUACUCCGCGUCGCUGCUUCCGCCUUCCGGCUCAGGCAUCGCUGCUUUCGCCUUCCGGCUCAGGCAUGGAUCUGAAGCAAGUUGUGGUGUAGGGUGCUGCUCCCUUCUCUCGGUGAUGGUCGGCAGUGGAGACGGGCCCGAGGGGAGAGGAGCAUGUGGUGGAGCUCCGACCGUGUUCCUCAACUACCAAUUGGAUCCCGCGCGUGCAGGUGGUUCUUGUGGCUCGCGAAGCCUUCGGCGGCGAUGGUGCUCCUUUUGGAUUUAUUUUGGUGCCCGGCGUGCAUUUGUCUGCAGUCGCGUGUGUGCUUGGCUCCUGUGCAUGUGUGUGUGUGGUGCGUGCGUGCCUGCUGAUUGAAAGUACAUGUACAGCCCUAUUACACUGAUUGUUUGCUACUGCCACUAAUUGCUAUGCCGAUGCUACUGAUUUUGCUGCUCCUUGAUUCCUAUACAGUAGACACAUGCUAUCGCUGCUGGUUGCUAUUGCUGCUGCCACUGAUUGCUAUUGCUGUUGCUGCUGAUUUUCCUACUCCUUAGUACAUAUACAGUAUAGAAGAUAAUUUGCAUUCCCAAAUAAAAGUAUAAGAUCUGUAUGUUUUAAAAUUCUUGCAAAUUGAAACAACUACUUGUUAUCUCUUCUCUAAUCUUUCUCUGGAUCAGAUUCUCUUUUAUGCUCUCCAUUGCAAAAAAUUACUCAAUAUGUACAAUGCGUACAAUAAUAAUCACGGAACCCUCUAGCUCCUUUAUGAUUCCAUGGUUCCAUGUCCUUGCAAUUGUUAGUAUUAUUUGUUCCUGUGCAUGUGUGUAUCUCAUCAUGUGAUUUUUCCCUUGCAAUUUUUGUGCCUACAAGAUGUCAGCUAACAGUCUUUCAGUAUCUAAACAAAUGCAGUAACUAUGAUGUUGGUAUGAAACUGUCCUACGGGUCAGGUUUCGAACUGUUGACAAUAGAUGUGCAGAUCGAUAGAUUUUGUUAAAAUCAUUAACUUGCCUGGCCUGAUUGUGUAAGGGAUUAACUUGCUUUAAUGGUGUGCAACUUCGGGGGCAGAUGGAAAUGUACAGCUUAUGGCAUAAUCGCAGAAAGUCAGGCAACCCAUUCGCUUACUUGAUAAACCCUCCCCUGGUUCAGGCCACUAAGGUGUCCAUUUCCUUAUCUCCUCCUCAUGAUGUAGCAUUCUUAUUUAUUCCAUAUCCUUAAUUUUUACACUAACUGGUCCAAUGAAACUUCGUUAGUUAAGUGUGCCAAUAUAUGUCUAUUUUUCCGCUCUUAAGGACAUGACAAAUGAUACAUGAUUAGGGAGCUGAGUUGUGACCAAAAUCAAAUCCUCUUGGUUAUAUGAUAUUCUACAUUGGCAGCAAAGGCACAUGGGUAUUGUUUGCUAAAACUGGGUUGAGAAUUUCAAUACAAGAUGAUUACUUGGAUCUUGGAGAAAGUAUGAUGAUUCUUGGUACCUGGAGGAGAAACAAGACAGUUCCUUGAAUGUUUAGAAAUUUGAUAUUUUAUUUUAUUUUAUUUUCUAAGGAGAUGAUGUACCCCUACUAGAUGAUACUUCUGUUGUACGUAAUGUAACAGAUGGUUCCAUUGAAUAAAUAUAUCAUUUUCAUUUCUACUCUAUCAAAUUUUGCUAAAGUUAUACCUUGUACCGCCAUUCAAACUACCUACUGUUACAAAUGAUUAUAUAUGGAGGUUAUUCUAUUUUGCAA